UCUCACAGAUCAGCAAAGAAAGUGGUUUCUUGAGAUGGGAUCUACUCCUGGUGAAGAUGCUGUGAA
rnacentral:pre_miRNA from 1 species